GACGAACGCUGGCGACGUGCUUAACACAUGCAAGUCGAACGGAAAGGCCUGCUUUCCCUUGUGGAUUGCGGGUACUCGAGUGGCGAACGGGUGAGUAACACGUGAGUGAUCUGCCCCCAACUUGGGUAUAAGCCUGGGAAACUGGGUCUAAUUCCCGAUAGGACUGCAGGGUGGUGCCUGUGGUGGAAAACGAUUUUCUAGUGGUUGGGGAUGAGCUCGCGGCCUAUCAGCUUGUUGGUGGGGUAAUGGCCUACCAAGGCGGCGACGGGUAGCCGGCCUGAGAGGGUGGACGGCCACAUUGGGACUGAGAUACGGCCCAGACUCCUACGGGAGGCAGCAGUGGGGAAUAUUGCACAAUGGGCGGAAGCCUGAUGCAGCGACGCCGCGUGGGGGAUGACGGCCUUCGGGUUGUAAACUCCUUUCGACCGCGAGGAAGCCACCUGGUUGGAAGGGUGGUGACGGUAGUGGUAGAAGAAGCACCGGCUAACUACGUG
rnacentral:rRNA from 1 species